UGGCUCAGUUGGUAGAGCAUGGUGUUUGCAAUGCCAGCAACGCCAGGGUUGUGGGUUCGAUUCCCAC
rnacentral:tRNA from 1 species